UGCAAUGCUGAUGUCCUGCCCCUGUCCAGCCACACUGGAUGUUUGAACUGCUUCCACUGGAUCAUCCCACUCAAUGACUCUUCAUUGUGGGGAUGACACCAACACACAGUAGAACACAAGACGCUCUUCCCCAUGCUACACUCAAUUGUUCAUAAAUUAGCAGACUUUGUGGACAGAAGAGACAAUUAGACCAUGUAAUCUGACACCCUGCAUAUCACAUGCUUUCUAUAUAGCAUAGUAGCUAGUUUUUCACUAAACACAUUCCAGAAAGGCACCUAGUCUUCAUUAGAAGCCAUCAAGAAAUGGGGAAUUCCCAACGCUUCCCUUUCUAGUUUGUUCCUUUGGUGAUUCAUCUUCACUGUUGAAUAUUUGUGUCCUGUUUCUGCUGUUCCCAACUGGCCUGGGUCUAUCACAUUUGUUACUUUUUGUCCUGAUUUCCUUCCGCUCCUGGAAGUUGAUGUUCCGAAAUUUUUCAUGAAGGAUGAAUUCUAGAUGACUUUUUCAAAUGUCUGGGAGUGUGGUCAAAGGGCUAAACGUAGGGAACCUGAUGGGGACACAGAGCAGAGAACCCCGGACAUCGCCCACUGCGCCUCAAAGACGACAAGGAAGCCAGCGGACGCCGCCCAGAGGAACUGUGCCAGGAUGCGUGAACGGACUGAGGAGCGGAAAUAGGCUCCACAGUCGCAGGAAAUCCCAUUGGCCAACUUCCUCUCCCUGCUUUUGUAGAUGGCCAGUUUGGCCAGGGCCAAGAGGAGGCUGACAAGGAAGUCCCGUGACUUAGUGGGACCUCGGAUGGAGAGUGCAUAGAUGAACAGAAUCUUCAAAUGGGCCUGGAUUUUUUGCUGAAGAAACAGAAAUGAUUUGGGAGGUUUUAUUUGGAGGGUUAAGAAGGGUCUAGAACUGAAUGUUUUUCCAACCAAACCCGCAGAUUGAUUGGUUCUAAUCACUUUGUGACAUCAGGACCACCAAGAAGAUGAAACCUUAUCAAUGCAGACUGGGAGUGUGUCUUAUUCAGACUUGU